rnacentral:rRNA from 1 species
AACCCGACUGGGGGAUGGCACGGCUCGAGAGCCGAAGAAGGUCGUGACCAGCUGCGAUACGUUGCGGGGAGAGGCAUGAAUCUCAUGGAUACGCAACUUGCUGAAUUGGACCUACUGGCACUCUGUGCCAUUCCUCAUUGAGGAAAGGGAACCUCCUGAACUGAAGCAUCUCAGUAGGGAGAGGAAAAGAAAUCAAACGAGAUUCCGUUAGUAGUGGCGAAUGAAAGCGGAACAGGACAAACCGAAUCUCCAUGGGAAACCUUGGAGAGAUGUGGGGUGAGGACCGUCUGUAGUCUAAGUGCAGGAAGUGGAAGUCGUCCUGGAACGGCGCACCACAGAGGGUGAAAGUCCCGUACACGUACUGCAUAUGGCCAAGAGACGGAUCCAGAGUAGCGUGCGUUGGAUAUCGCGCGUGAAUAUGGGAGGCAGAGACUUCCAAUCCUGAAUACUACUCGAGACCGAUAGUUGACAAGUAGCGUGAGCGAAAGCUGAAAAGUAUCCUUAGCGGGAUGUGAAAAGACCCUGAAACCAGUCGGGAACAAGCUGAAUAGGCGUGAAAGCGAAGAUAUGAGCAGCGUCUAUUCUUGCGUUUCGAAAAAUGCCCCUGGGAGUUCUGAUCAUUGGCGAGGUUAAGCAGUUGAACUGCGAAGCCGAAGGGAAACCGAAAGGUCCGCAGCCGCGUAAGCGGUCAGGGACUGGGUGCGCUCGCCCGGAGUCAAUGGUGGGAGACCUGAAGCCUAUCGAUCUAUGCCUGGCCAGUCUGAAGCCCGAUGAAAAUUGGGUGGAGGGACGAACCGUUGCUGAUGUGCAAAUCGCUCGGAAGAGUUGGGUAUAGGGGUGAAAGUCCAAUCGAGAUGGGCAAUAGCAGGUUCCGCGCGAGACUACUCGUAGGUAGACCUCCGUGAAGAUGGAAUGCGAUGUAGAGCACUGAUUGGGUAUUUAGGGGGAGCAAUCCCUCGGUACGCUGUCAAACUCCAAAGUUGCAUUCGUCGUAGAAGCGGGGAGUGAGCCACGGUGGGUAAGCUACCGUGACGAAAGGUGAAGAAACCAGCUCAGCGUUAAGGUCCCAAAAUUUCAGUUAAGUGUUAAUCACAAACGGCGUCCGUGGUCGAAGACAACCAGAAGGUGGGCUUAGAGGCAGCCAUCCUUGAAAGAGUUCGUAACAGAUCACUGGUCAAGCUUGCGGGCCCGAAAAAUGGACGGGACUCAAACUGAAUACCGAUACGCUGACCCUCCGAAAGGAGAUGGGGUAGCGCGGCGACGUGGUCGGGUAGAAGCUAGGUUGUGAAAUCUAGUGGACCGUCUACGUAUGAGAAUCCAGGGAAGAGUAGCAGCAUAGUGCGGUGAGAAUCCGCACCACCGAAGGGGCCAGGGUUCCUCGGCAAUGUUCAUCAGCCGAGGGUUAGCCGGUCCUAAGGACAUCCUUAACCGAGAUGUUCGAAAGGGAAAUGCGUUAAUAUUCGUAUGCCCCUCUGCAAAUCUGGUAACGGCUCGGGCUAGUUCGUGCAUUCCUGUCAUGGGAUGUCGAAGCGUUCGAUAAUCGAUUGGAGAACCGUAAUGGUGAGAAGAUCGAGAAGGCGUGAGCAAAAGACGAAUGAGGCCAGGGUCCCAUGAAAAGCCGCAGAGGUGACCGUACCGAGAACUGACACAGGUGCCCCUGGGUGAGUAGCCUAAGGUGUGACGGAAAAACAACCGCGAGGGAACUCGGCAAAAUCGACCCGUAACUUCGGGAGAAGGGGUGCCUUGAUUAGGUGAACACCUUUGCGGUGGAAGCUGAAAGAGGCCGCAGUGACCAGGCCCAAACGACUGUUUACUAAAAACACAGGUCUCUGCUAAAUCGUAAGAUGAAAUAUAGGGACUGACACCUGCCCGGUGCCGGAAGGUUAAAUGGAAGGGUUAGCUUCGGCAAAGCUCUGAAAUGAAGCCCCGGUAAACGGCGGCCGUAACUAUAACGGUCCUAAGGUAGCGAAAUUCCUUGUCGGGUAAGUUCCGACCUGCACGAAUGGUGCAACGAUUUGGGCACUGUCUCAACCUGGAGCUCAGCGAAAUUGAAGUGUCGGUGAAGAUGCCGGCUACCCGCAGCAGGACGAAAAGACCCCGUGAACCUUUACUACAACUUAGCAUUGGAUUUUGGUUAUGCAUGUGC